rnacentral:rRNA from 1 species
GGGGAAUAUUGGACAAUGGGCGCAAGCCUGAUCCAGCCAUGCCGCGUGAGUGAUGAAGGCCCUAGGGUUGUAAAGCUCUUUUGUGCGGGAAGAUAAUGACUGUACCGCAAGAAUAAGCCCCGGCUAACUUCGUGCCAGCAGCCGCGGUAAUACGAAGGGGGCUAGCGUUGCUCGGAAUCACUGGGCGUAAAGGGUGCGUAGGCGGGUCUUUAAGUCAGGGGUGAAAUCCUGGAGCUCAACUCCAGAACUGCCUUUGAUACUGAGGAUCUUGAGUUCGGGAGAGGUGAGUGGAACUGCGAGUGUAGAGGUGAAAUUCGUAGAUAUUCGCAAGAACACCAGUGGCGAAGGCGGCUCACUGACCCGAUACUGACGCUGAGGCACGAAAGCGUGGGGAGCAAACA